rnacentral:rRNA from 1 species
CACGCCGUAAACGAUGUCGAUUUGGCGGCUGUGUCCUUGAGACGUGGCUUCCGGAGCUAACGCGUUAAAUCGACCGCCUGGGGAGUACGGCCGCAAGGUUAAAACUCAAAUGAAUUGACGGGGGCCCGCACAAGCGGUGGAGCAUGUGGUUUAAUUCGAUGCAACGCGAAGAACCUUACCUGGCCUUGACAUGUCUGGAAUCCUGUAGAGAUACGGGAGUGCCUUCGGGAAGCAGAACACAGGUGC